AGGUUAUUAAGAAUUAGAAUCAAGGCUGUGUUCUUACACUGACUGCAGAGAAAGAGGAGGCAGAAUAAACCUACCCCAAAUACAUGUCAGCCCAGGUUCUGUGCCUGGUCUAUAUUGUGAAUGGGGAUACGUGG